GUAUGAUCAGUAACAGCUCAGUCAAGCCUAGUAUGAAGUAGAAAAGUUCAGUUCUAUUUAGUUGGGAGUAGGAUUCAGCACCGAGCGAGCCUAGAGAUGGGGGCACACCCGUUAGUUAGGAUUGGGUCCCUUGAAGCAAUCCCAAAGUUCCAGAACUACAUAGCCAGCAUAGGUAUAAGAUAUCACUCGUUAGAUAGGACUGACAUACUCAGAGAUCACCCGCUAGUUUAGGACUGAUCUCAGGGGUCACCCAUUAGAUAAAGACCAACUCCAUAGCAGUUGUCUUUAUACAUGGAACGGUACUGACACCCUUCCAGCUGGGGUAACAGGUUAGACCCCAUUAGUUCAAAUUCGAGGCAUAUUGGUUAGAUGAAUACUUUCCGUAGUCUCAGUUUUAGUAUCAAUCUUCAGAAUAGAACUAAGAUCAGUGUUAUGGAAAUUAGGACUGUCACAUACAGUAACUCAGAUCAGUAAAGAACUUAGAUAGUUCCAUAUAUUAGAGAUCACCCUCUAGAUAGGACUGAUCUCAUAUUCAGUCAAUCAUUUUCAUUAUCAGUAGAUUCAGGUAUCACCCUCUAGAUAGGACUGAUCUCAGGUAUCAUUACCAGUAGACUCAGUUAUCAGAAAUCUAGUUAUUAGAAUUCAGUACUCAGUGUUACUGCGAUUUUAGUAGUAGUUUAUGCAUUCAUGCAUAUAUCCUCAUUCAAUAGUCUCAUGUUAUUCAGUCAGUAUUGUUCAAACAUGUGAACCCUUGCAUUUAGCCUUACCUCAUCUAGCGUACCAGUACAUUCUCAUGUACUGACGCAUAUUUUUAUCUUGCGCUAUGGUGUAUUGUACCAUAGGUUAAGAAUCACGAGAUCCCAAGCACCCUUAGUAGUUCAGAUUCAGCCAGCAGCAGUAGACUUAGCAGUGAGUCCUCAUCAUUCGAGGAUGUUACUUAUUUUAUUAUUGCAUUAGAAUUAGCAUUUCAGUAAAUAGAGUUAGUUAGUGGAUUGUCCCAUCAACUCCUUAUUCAGACAGUUUAGAGGCUUUUUCAAACUAUAGUAUUUUCAGGUGGAUAGAACAAUGUAGGCAAGGGAAGUCGGCAAAAUGGAUCCGUAACUUUUGGAAAAGGAUUGGCACUAAGGGAUGGGCAGGGGUGUCCCAGUCCCGAACCCAUCGCCUAUCGGUGGACUACUCGAGCUACUCCCGCAGUGAGAGUGGGUCGCCGUGUGCCGAUCGUGGGAUGGAUUAGGAAUGGUUCCUUCAGGGGCCUUCCCCGCACGUCGAACAGCCAACUCAAAACUGGUACGGACAAGGGGAAUCCGACUUUUUAAUUAAAACAAAGCAUUGCAAUGGUCCCAACGGAUGUUCACGCAUUGUGAUUUCUGCCCUGUGCUCUGAAUGUCAAAAUGAAGAAAUUCAACCAAGCGCGGGUAAAUGGCGGGAGUAACUAUGACUCUCUUAAGGUAGCCAAAUGCCUCGUCAUCUAAUUAGUGACGCGCAUGAAUGGAUUAACAAGAUUCCCACUAUCCCUGUCUACUAUCUAGCGAAACCACAACCAAGGAAACGGGCUUGGCAGAAUCAGCGGGGAAAGAAGAUCCUCUUGAGCUUGACUCUACUCCGACUUUGUGAAAUGACUUGACAUAUGUAGUAUAAGUGGGAGCCGAAAGAUGAAAGUGAAAUACCACUAAUUUUAAUGUUAUUUUACUUAUUCCGUGAAUCAAAAGUGGGUCACUGGCCCUCUCUUUGGACCCAAGGCUUACUCUGCGGGAUUAUCUAGGCGGAAAACAUUGUCAGGUGGGGAGUUUGGCUGGGGUGGCACAUCUGUUAAAAGAUAACACAGGUAUCCUAAGAUGAGCUCAACAAGAACAGAAAUAUCGUGUGGAACAGAAGGGUACAAUCUCGUUUUAUUAUAAUUUAUAGUACGAAUAUGAACCAAGAAAGCAUGGCCUAACGAUCCUUUAGACCUUCGGAAUUCGAAGCUAGAGGUGUCAGAAAAGUGUUACCAUAGGGAUAACUGGCGUGUUUUAGCCAAGCGUUCAUAGCAACGUUGCUUUUUCAUCCUUCAAUGCUGUCUCUUCCUAUCAUUGUGAAGAAGAAUUCACCAAGUAUUGGACUAUUCACCCACCAAUAUGGAACGUGAGCUAGGUUUAGACCGUCGUGAGACAGGUUAGUUUUACCCUACUUAUGACAGUUUCGCAGUAGUAAUUCAACCUAGUACGAGAGGAAACGUUGAUUCAUAUAACUUAUCAUUGCGCUUGGUUGAAAAGCUAGUGGUGCAAAGCUAUCGUGUGCUGGAUUAUGACUGAAUGCCUCUAAGUCAGAAUUCGGGCUAGAAGUGACGCACGCGCCCGCUGUCUUCUUGCUGACCUGCAGUAGGGGCCUUGUCCCCUAAGGGAACGUGUCCUUUGCUAAGCCACCACGGCGGAAGAGUCGCGGUGGCCGCCUUGAAGUAUAAUUUCCAUUGAGCGGCGAGUAGAAUCCUUUGCAGAUGACUUAAUUAUGUGAUGGGGUAUUGUAAGUGGAAGAAUGUCCUUGUUGCAACGAUCCACUGAGAUUCAUCCCUUUGUCGCUCUGGUUCGU
rnacentral:rRNA from 1 species